rnacentral:rRNA from 1 species
UGGUGGGUUGCCUUGUCAGGUUGAUUCCGGUAACGAACGAGACCUCAGCCUGCUAAAUAGUCACGACUACCUCGGUAGGCGCUUGACUUCUUAGAGGGACUAUUGGCGUUUAGCCAAUGGAAGUGUGAGGCAAUAACA